AGUGCCCUGGGAUAGAUAAGAGG
rnacentral:miRNA from 15 species